rnacentral:lncRNA from 1 species
AAAACAGAACAUGAGGCAGUCUGGAGAGACAUUACCAACUUUGCACAUGAAGAGGAAGAGAAAGAGGAAGGGCAAGAGGAAGGAGAAAAGGAAAGAAUGCAGUGCAUGUUUGCAUGUGAGCAUCUACAAUCCUGUCUUUAAAAGUCUGUCUAAACUGCCUGUCCCAGAACAGUUUGGAGUGGACUGAAGUACAUGAAUCAGAGGUGAUAAGGUGACAGAAUGCCUGCUUUCUUUUACAUGUUGAUUAAAAAGGAAAACAGAAUCUCCCUCAUUUUCAUGAGCAAGUAAGCAUAAAAUGUUUGUCUGUGUUUCUUUGUUCCUCAUUAAAGAUUCUGCAUAGGGUUGUG